rnacentral:rRNA from 1 species
AAAAAAAACCGUACCGUAAACCGACACUGGUAGGCAGGGUGAGAAUCCCAAGGCGCUUGAGAGAACUCGGGUGAAGGAACUAGGCAAAAUGGCACCGUAACUUCGGGAGAAGGUGCGCCCUUUGACGUGGUCACAUGCGUGACUGAGCGUUGAAGGGUCGCAGUAACCUGGCCGCUGCGACUGUUUAUCAAAAACACAGCACUCUGCAAACACGAAAGUGGACGUAUAGGGUGUGACGCCUGCCCGGUGCUGGAAGGUUAAUUGAUGGGGUCAGCCGCAAGGCGAAGCUCUUGAUCGAAGCCCCAGUAAACGGCGGCCGUAACAAUAACGGUCCUAAGGUAGCGAAAUUCCUUGUCGGGUAAGUUCCGACCUGCACGAAUGGCGUAACGACAGCGGCGCUGUCUCCACCCGAGACUCAGUGAAAUUGAAUUCGCUGUGAAGAUGCAGCGUUCCCGCGGCAAGACGGAAAGACCCCGUGAACCUUUACUAUAGCUUUACACUGAACGUUGAGUUCUUCUGUGUAGGAUAGGUGGGAGGCUUUGAAGCGCAGACGCCAGUUUGCGUGGAGCCAACCUUGAAAUACCACCCUGAAGUGCUUGACGUUCUAACCUCGGCCCGUAAUCCGGGUCAGGGACCGUGUAUGGUGGGUUUUGACUGGGGCGGUCUCCUCCCAAAGAGUAACGGAGGAGCACGAAGGUACGCUCAGCGCGGUCGGACAUCGCGCACUGUGUGCAAUGGCAUAAGCGUGCUUGACUGCGAGAUCGACGGAUCAAGCAGGUACGAAAGUAGGUCACAGUGAUCCGGUGGUUCUGUAUGGAAGGGCCAUCGCUCAACGGAUAAAAGGUACUCCGGGGAUAACAGGCUGAUACCGCCCAAGAGUUCAUAUCGACGGCGGUGUUUGGCACCUCGAUGUCGGCUCAUCACAUCCUGGGGCUGUAGCCGGUCCCAAGGGUAUGGCUGUUCGCCAUUUAAAGUGGUACGCGAGCUGGGUUCAGAACGUCGUGAGACAGUUCGGUCCCUAUCUGUCGUGGGCGUUGGAGAUUUGAGGGGGGCUGCUCCUAUUACGAGAGGACCGGAGUGGACGUUCCGCUGGUGUUCGGGUUGUCAUGCCCAUGGCAUUGCCCGGUAGCUAUGAACGGAAGUGAUAACCGCUGAAAGCAUCUAAGCGGGAAGCACGCCCCAAGAUGAGAUCUCCCGAGAGCUUGACUCUCCUAAAGGCACCAUCAAGACCAGGUGGUUGAUAGGUCAGGUGUGGAAGCGCAGCAAUGCGUUGAGCUAACUGAUACUAAUGAGCCGUGCGGCUUGACC